AGCUUGCGCAGACGCAUCCCUCGGUGACGGCGAGAAGGCGGCGACGGCCGGGCCGCGGGAUGGCCGGUCCCGUGUCGCUGUCCAGCGGAGUGACUGAUGCUCGAGGACCCCUCACCUGCUAUCAUCUUGCUACAGGACACCCUCCCAGAUCAGUGAAUCUUCUCUCUUUCUGGAACGCGAUUCUCUCAUUUCUCUACCUGGUGAACUGCUCUUC
rnacentral:lncRNA from 1 species